rnacentral:rRNA from 1 species
UAGUCCACGCCGUAAACGAUGGAUACUCGGUGUUCGACCUUCGGGUUGAGUGCCUAAGGGAAACCGAUAAGUAUCCCACCUGGGGAGUACGUCCGCAAGGAUGAAACUCAAAGGAAUUGACGGGGGCCCGCACAAGCGGUGGAGCAUGUGGUUUAAUUCGAUGAUACGCGAGGAACCUUACCAGGGCUUAAAUGUAGUAUGACAGGUUUAGAGAUAGACUUUCUUCGGACAUAUUACAAGGUGCUGCAUGGUUGUCGUCAGCUCGUGCCGUGAGGUGUCAGGUUAAGUCCUAUAACGAGCGCAACCCCUGUUGUUAGUUGCCAGCGAGUCAAGUCGGGAACUCUAACAAGACUGCCAGUGCAAACUGUGAGGAAGGUGGGGAUGACGUCAAAUCAUCACGGCCCUUACGUCCUGGGGCUACACACGUGCUACAAUGGUAGGGUACAGAGAGCAGCCACAACGCGAGUUGGAGUCGAAUCUAUAAAA